GGAUCAACACAGUGGCUGAACACUGGGAAGGAACUGGUACUUGGAGUCUGGACAUCUGAAACUUGGUGAAAUUCAUCUUAGCUUCUGGGAUUGGCUCCUACUCAACAUGCAAGCACUAAUCCUCUAACAUGCAGAGACAGAGUCUCACUCUGUUGCCAGGCUGGAGUGCAAUGAUGCCAUCUCGACUCGCCGCAACCUCCACCUCCCGGGUUCCAGUGAUUUUCCUGCAUCAGCCUCCCAAGUAGCUGGGACUACAGGCACGUGCCACCACGCCCAGCUAAUUUUUGUAUUUUUAGUGGGGACAGAGUUUCACCAUGUUGGCCAAGAUGGUCUUGAUCUCUUGACCUUGUGAUCCACCCACCUCAGCUUCCCAAAGUGCUGGGAUUACAGGCAUGAGCCACUGCGCCCAGCCCAUACAUAAGAAUUUUAAGUCCAGCAUGCUACCAUAAUAUAAAAAACAUCUAGGAAAGAGAAUCAGAUAUUUUCGUUGAGUGCUUACAAUGUAUGAAUCCUUUAGCAUCAUUAUCUCAUUUAAUUUGCAAGCAAUUUUUAAGAUAGGCAUCAUGGAACACCUACAACAUGCAAAGCAGUUUUCAUUCAUGACUUCAUUUAAUCUUCCCAAUGAAUUUAUGAAGAAAGUAUUAUUUUGGCAAAUACACACAUGACAACACUAAAACUCAAAUUAGAGAAUUUUCUAAAGAUCAAACAAGUUUAAAGUGCCAAAUUUAGGAUUCCAACUAUUUCUCUGUGUCAGGCCUUUGAGCCCAAGCUAAGCCAUCAUAUCCCCUGUGACCUGCACGUACACAUCCAGAUGGCCAG
rnacentral:lncRNA from 1 species